GCGCUGACAACUGAUGCCCGAGGGCUGCCUUGUACCUGCGGUCGUGUUUUCUAGUGCAAACUAUCCACUGUAGGGGUUCCUCUGUGAGGAACGAGUUGGUGAGAUGUUGGAUUAGUGCUGCUGUGUUGAGCUUUUGGUUUGGUGCUGCCAUGUUGGCCGAUCUGUGCCCCUGUCAAAUGUUUCUGAUUAUCCAUGUGUUGGAUGCAAAGGUUGACUGAUUCUGCUACCAUGCCUGAUUUUUUUUUUGGCUGCCAUGUUAGAAGCAUUAAGCUGCUGGUUCAGUCCAAGGGUC
rnacentral:rRNA from 1 species